GCCAUCUUACUGUACCCACAACAGUCGCCGCAGCGAUCAUGGCAACUUCUUGCAAUUACGGUCGUACCAACCGUACUGGCAGGGUUACAGGGCCUAAAUUUAUACAGGUUUCGUCAUGAGGGCUACCUAGUGAAUAAUCUGUGCAGUGUGAUAUGGCUGGGUGUACAGGUUACUUCACAGCUGCCUCGACAUACUCAAGAAUUGGGUGCAGAACCUGCGUAAUGCCCACAAACUCCACAGCACCUCCGGAAAGUAAAGGCAUAUGUGUCACAUGGGAUUUUUAAAGGCAUUCACAGUAUAUAAUACUUACCUUGUAUGAACUGUUGUAGAUCUAAGCAGCCUCUACAGUACACUCUCAGAAAUUAAAACUUGUCAUGGAACAGUGAUAAUUAUUCCAGUUAAUAGGCAUGCACCCAGUUAAUAGGCAUGCACAUGUACACUAUAAGAAGAAAAUUAUUUAUUGAGAAUGCCCUACUGUUGAUCACACUCAUGCAGCUGUAGGUUUACCUUCGACCUCUUGGAACUCUUUGUAGUUGCCUUAGCUGCAGGGGGAGUGUCAUCCAGCAUGUCAACUACUUGCAGAAAUAUUGACGUAUUUAAGAUUAUGACACAGUUUGAAGGGUUUCAAUUCAGGAAAUUUGCAGUGGCAGGGCCUGCCAGAGUGAAACCUACUGAAUAUUUUAUGGUGUCGAAGUGGCAGUUCCUCCAGGAUAGGAAUA